rnacentral:rRNA from 1 species
AGUGAACGCUGGCGGUAGGCCUAACACAUGCAAGUCGAACGGCAGCACAGUAAGAGCUUGCUCUUACGGGUGGCGAGUGGCGGACGGGUGAGGAAUACAUCGGAAUCUACUUUUUCGUGGGGGAUAACGUAGGGAAACUUACGCUAAUACCGCAUACGACCUACGGGUGAAAGCAGGGGAUCUUCGGACCUUGCGCGAUUGAAUGAGCCGAUGUCGGAUUAGCUAGUUGGCGGGGUAAAGGCCCACCAAGGCGACGAUCCGUAGCUGGUCUGAGAGGAUGAUAAGACACACGGGAAAUGAGACACGGUCCAGACUCCUACGGGAGGCAGCAGUGGGGAAGAUGGGACAAGGGGCGCAAGCCUGAUCCAGCCAUACCGCGUGGGUGAAGAAGGCCUUCGGGUUGUAAAGCCCUUUUGUUGGGAAAGAAAAGCAGCAGGUUAAUACCCCGCUGUUCUGACGGUACCCAAAGAAUAAGCACCGGCUAACUUCGUG